rnacentral:lncRNA from 1 species
AGUGUAGUUGGUUCCCUUAGGCACCCAUACUUUAGUUAUGUUUUUAGCUUUUACAAAUAUACUCUUGUUAGUUUGGAUCUUUCUUUGAAUACAAGAGUAGGCUUUAUGUCCACUUUUUUCACAAUGAAAGCAUGUAGGUUUUUCAGUUUUGACAUCUUUUGCUUUCACAAAGAAAUUCUUUAGAUACUUUUGUUGCUUAUUAGUUUUAUAUCCUAAUCCGGCUUUAUUAAAAACAGCUCUUUGAUUUGAAAGAAUAAGAUUUAAUUUCUCAGAGUUUUGUGUAAAUUUUUCAACAAUUGGUUUGUACUUAUGUACCUCAUUCUUAAGAUCCAAAUUUUCUUUAACUAGUUCUUCCUUAUCCUUUUUAAGGGAUUCAACAUUUUGUGCAAGUGAGGUGUUAUUAUUGAGUAGAGAUUUAACUUUUAGAUUCAAUUCCUUAAUUAAUGUUUUUGCCGUUUCAUUUUCAAUGCUAAGUUUU